rnacentral:rRNA from 1 species
CCACUAUGCCUAGCCGUAAACAUUGAUAGAAUUCUACACCCUCUAUCCGCCUGGGUACUACGAGCAUCAGCUUGAAACCCAAAGGACUUGGCGGUACUUUAGAUCCCCCUAGAGGAGCCUGUUCUAUAACCGAUGACCCCCGUUCAACCUCACCCUCCCUUGUUUUUCCCGCCUAUAUACCGCCGUCGUCAGCUUACCCUGUGAAGGUCUAAUAGUAAGCAAAAUUGGCACCGCCCAGAACGUCAGGUCGAGGUGUAGCGCAUGAGAGGGGAAGAAAUGGGCUACAUUCGCUACUAUUAGCGAAUACGAACGAUGCACUGAAAACGUUCAUCUGAAGGAGGAUUUAGCAGUAAGUGGAAAAUAGAGUGUUCCGCUGAAAUCGGCUCUGAAGUGCGUACACACCGCCCGUCACUCUCCCCAAGCUUAUCACUACACAUAUAUAAAACGCCCCAAUUGCGAAGGGGAGGCAA